rnacentral:rRNA from 1 species
UAGAAGAUGGCGACCGGCGCACGGGUGAGUAACACGUAUCCAACCUGCCGAUAACUCGGGGAUAGCCUUUCGAAAGAAAGAUUAAUACCCGAUGGCAUAAUAGAACCGCAUGGUUUGAUUAUUAAAGAAUUUCGGUUAUCGAUGGGGAUGCGUUCCAUUAGGCAGUUGGUGGGGUAACGGCCCACCAAACCUCCGAUGGAUAGGGGUUCUGAGAGGAAGGUCCCCCACAUUGGAACUGAGACACGGUCCAA